ACUCCUACGGGAGGCAGCAGUGGGGAAUAUUGCACAAUGGGCGCAAGCCUGAUGCAGCCAUGCCGCGUGUGUGAAGAAGGCCUUCGGGUUGUAAAGCACUUUUCAGUUGUGAGGAAGGUGGUGUCGUUAAUAGCGGCAUCAUUUGACGUUAGCAACAGAAGAAGCACCGGCUAACUCCGUGCCAGCAGCCGCGGUAAUACGGAGGGUGCGAGCGUUAAUCGGAAUUACUGGGCGUAAAGCGCAUGCAGGUGGUUUGUUAAGUCAGAUGUGAAAGCCCGGGGCUCAACCUCGGAACUGCAUUUGAAACUGGCAGACUAGAGUACUGUAGAGGGGGGUAGAAUUUCAGGUGUAGCGGUGAAAUGCGUAGAGAUCUGAAGGAAUACCAGUGGCGAAGGCGGCCCCCUAGGACAAAGACUGACGCUCAGAUGCGAAAGCUGGGGAGCAAACAGGAUUAGAUACCCUGGUAGCACA
rnacentral:rRNA from 1 species